rnacentral:rRNA from 1 species
CAAUAGCGUAUAUUUAAGUUGUUGCAGUUAAAAAGCUCGUAGUUGGAUUUCGGGUGGGACGCAGCGGUCUCGCAUUGCGUUUGUACUGCUGCAGCCCUCCUUCUUGCCGGGGGCGGCCUCUCGGACUUCACUGUCUGGGGGUCAGAAUCGGCGAUGUUACUUUGAGUAAAUUAGAGUGUUCAAAGCAAGCUUACGCUCUGAAUAUAAUAGCAUGGGAUAACACGACAGGACUCUGGCCUAUCGUGUUGGUCUAUAGGACCAGAGUAAUGACUAAGAGGGACAGUCGGGGGCAUUCGUAUUCCGUUGUCAGAGGUGAAAUUCUUGGAUUUACGGAAGACGAACAUCUGCGAAAGCAUUUGCCAAGGAUGUUUUCAUUGA